GCUUCUGUGAUUUAAGUGGUUAGAGCGUCUGCCUUGGAUGUAGGAGGUCAUGGGUUCGAAUCCCUGUGCGAGUCA